rnacentral:hammerhead_ribozyme from 1 species
AUCUAUCUGACGAGUACCAAAUAAUACAAAACGUGCGUCUUGGAU